AUACGUAGGGGGCGAGCGUUAUCCGGAUUUAUUGGGCGUAAAGCGUGUGUAGGCGGUUUGUUAAGUUUAAGAUUAAAGCCCGAGGCUUAACCUCGGUUCGUCUUAAAAAAUGGCAGACUUGAGUGCAGUAGAGGCAAGUGGAAUUUCUAGUGUAGCGGUUAAAUGCGUAGAGAUUAGAAGGAACACCAGUGGCGAAGGCGGCUUGCUGGGCUGUUACUGACGCUGAGACACGAAAGCGUGGGGAGCAAAUAGGAUUAGAUCCCCUAGUAGUCCACGCCGUAAACGAUGAGUACUAAGUGUCGGGUAACCGGUGCUGAAGUUAACACAUUAAGUACUCCGCCUGAGUAGUACGGUCGCAAGGCUGAAACUUAAAGGAAUUGACGGGG
rnacentral:rRNA from 1 species